AUUGACCUCGGAUCAGGUAGGGAUACCCGCUGAACUUAAGCAUAUCAAUAAGCGGAGGAAAAGAAACCAACAGGGAUUGCCUCAGUAACGGCGAGUGAAGCGGCAUCAGCUCAAAUUUGAAAUCUGGCCCUUUCGGGGUCCGAGUUGUAAUUUGUAGAGAGUGCUUCGGGUGAGACCGCGGUCUAAGUCCAUUGGAACAUGGCGUCAUAGAGGGUGAGAAUCCCGUAUGUGACUGUGGUUCGAACCCGUGUGAAGCCUCUUCGACGAGUCGAGUUGUUUGGGAAUGCAGCUCAAAAUGGGUGGUAAAUUUCAUCUAAAGCUAAAUACUGGCUGGAGACCGAUAGCGCACAAGUAGAGUGAUCGAAAGAUGAAAAGCACUUUGGAAAGAGAGUCAAACAGUACGUGAAAUUGUUGAA
rnacentral:rRNA from 1 species